rnacentral:rRNA from 1 species
GAAAGGCGAAAAGAACCCCGGCGAGGGGAGUGAAAAAGAACCUGAAACCGUGUACGUACAAGCAGUGGGAGCACCCUUUGGGGUGUGACUGCGUACCUUUUGUAUAAUGGGUCAGCGACUUAUAUUCUGUAGCAAGGUUAACCGAAUAGGGGAGCCGGAGGGAAACCGAGUCUUAAUUGGGCGUUAAGUUGCAGGGUAUAGACCCGAAACCCGGUGAUCUAGCCAUGGGCAGGUUGAAGGUUGGGUAACACUAACUGGAGGACCGAACCGACUAAUGUUGAAAAAUUAGCGGAUGACCUGUGGCUGGGGGUGAAAGGCCAAUCAAACCGGGAGAUAGCUGGUUCUCCCCGAAAG